rnacentral:rRNA from 1 species
GCGGACGGGUGAGUAACGCGUAGGAAUCUGCCUGAUAGUGGGGGAUAGCCCGGAGAAAUUCGGAUUAAUACCGCAUAAUCUAUUCGUAGUAAAGUGGGGGACUUUCGAGCCUCACGCUAUCAGAUGAGCCUGCGUAAGAUUAGCUUGUUGGUAGGGUAAAAGCCUACCAAGGCGACGAUCUUUAGCUGGUCUGAGAGGAUGAUCAGCCACAUCGGGACUGAGACACGGCCCGAACUCCUACGGGAGGCAGCAGUGGGGAAUAUUGGACAAUGGGGGCAACCCUGAUCCAGCAAUACCGCGUGUGUGAAGAAGGCCUGAGGGUUGUAAAGCACUUUCAAUUGUGAAGAAAAGUUAACGGUUAAUAACCGUUAGCCUUGACGUUAACUUUAGAAGAAGCACCGGCUAACUCCGUGCCAGCAGCCGCGGUAAUACGGAGGGUGCAAGCGUUAAUCGGAAUUACUGGGCGUAAAGCGUGCGUAGGUGGUUUAUUAAGUCAGAUGUGAAAGCCCCGGGCUUAACCUGGGAACUGCAUUUGAAACUGGUAAACUAGAGUAUGGUAGAGGAAAGUGGAAUUUCUGGUGUAGCGGUGAGAUGCGUAGAUAUCAGAAGGAACAUCAAUGGCGAAGGCAGCUUUCUGGACCAAUACUGACACUGAGGUACGAAAGCGUGGGUAGCAAACAGGAUUAGAUACCCUGGUAGUCCACGCCGUAAACGAUGAUAACUAGCCGUUGGGGGGAUUUACCCUUUAGUGGCGAAGCUAACGCGUUAAGUAUCCGCCUGGG